rnacentral:lncRNA from 1 species
GAAAACUAUCAGUCCCAAUUUCUAGAAAGCUCCCAAAGGCAACCCUCUCUCUUACCAAAUUAAUGUCACUGUUUUGCUACAUUCGAAUCGAAAUUUGAACUUGAAGAAUUUGAAACUUCGUCGCCUGAGGUUUUGGAGGAAAAAGAGUAGUCGAUUUGUGGUAGUGAAGAAUUAGGUUAUAAAAGCUCGAUUGUUGGUGAUCAUAAUGAUUUUGAUGAUGACUCGGAGGAUGCGAAGACUACUGAGUUGAAUGAAAAAUUUAGUGCGACAAUGGCAUUUGUGGCGACUACUGCGGCCGAUAAGGCGGCUCAGAAGGUGUUGAAUGAGUUGUAGUUGUAGCUCGAUGGAUUGUAUAUAUUUGCAACCAUAUAUUGCUCCCAGCCAUCUGCGUUGAAAUUCACUGUUUGUGCCGAAUGUUGAUCUUUUUCUGCAUUAAAUAUGAUAUAUAUGCAAACUUUUUAAUUUGAUGCAAAUUAGAUAGUUACAUACUUCUUUAAUUUGAUGCAAAUUAGAUAGUUAUCAAGAUGUAUUCAUAAUUGAAUAUUUCUCCUUGCAAUUAAGAUAUAUGUGGGUAGUUGAAUAUUGUGCUAAAAUAUUGAAAUUUGUAAGCACCGCGUGUAUUUAUGGUUAAG